UUCCAUGGAAAUAAAUGAGGCAUUGCUUCCAGAGUGAUUUACAUACAAUUGAUCAGCUCAGCAGUCUGUUGUGUGUCAGUGCUUGCUGAACUGCCCCAAGCAACACGGCUUUUCAUUCUGUUCUGUCAAUCGUUGACAAAAACCACUACUGAUAGUUAACCAAAACCCAAAUAUUGUAAUCUUUUACAUUAAUCAGACUAACGCUUUUUCAGCGGCUCUCUCAUUAAUACAGAUGGUUAACUGCAAGCAUUAAAAGCCAGGCUGAGCUGUGGGGAAAUUUAACUUCUGGUCUGUUCUCUUUCAAGCACUUCUGCAGGUAUAGAAAUGCAUACAACUUCUUUCACUGCCGUCCCCACCUGAUCCACACGCAGCAAUCCCUGCUGCUGCCAGGUUCUGCAGACACGCGAAGCACCAAGACUGAACUGAACACUGCUUUCUUGGUACAAAAAAAAGGUCCUCUCAGAGCCUGAGAAAUGCUGUCAGACAGUUAAAAAGCAAGUAUUUAUUCUCCAGCUGUACUUCUCCACAGAUAAGCAGCACACCAGCCCAUCUCACAUGCUUCAGCAGUAGCAAAUGCACUGACCCAAUGUAUGCAGGUAUUUCUGUUUGAGUUCAACUGUAUGCUUGCUGAAUGACAGUGCAUAGAUGUGCCUUUGAAGGACCUAGGAACAGAUGGGACACAGAGUACAGCCCUUCCAUGAUUUCCUAAGAAUCCAGACAAGAAUUUCACCUUCACUGUUCUAGAAAUAGUCUCCUAGAGACAUUUCAGGGUCUGUCUCGGAUGACUUAACCUUUCCACAAUGAAAAACAGUUUGUGGUCUGUGAAGCUGAGGUUUUGAUGCAAAAUACACACACAAGAAAUCCUGGUUUCGGAUAUCCAUUUUUCAUACUAAGAAAACAAUACUCACACUGCAUAUACUGCACACCGGAUGAUAUCAGUAAUUCUUGGUUUGGUGAGGAUGGGGAAGUAAACCCAGAAAGACAUUUCCUAUUUUUGAUGGUGAACAAAAGACUUUUCUUAGGAAACAAUUCACCUCUGAAUUUUCUGUGGCAAGAGACACAUUUUAGCUAAACUUCAAUAAAGGAGCCCCACACGACCAGUGCAGCUGCAUUUCACUAUUGCACAUUAAUAGCAUCUUCAAUCAGGCGAUCUGUUGCUCUGCUCACUUGUCAGUUUGACUUGCUUUCACACCUUCGUGAAAUAUGUUAACUCCUCAUCAGUGACUCUGAGUAUACUUGCCAGCUACCAUAAAAAUACUUAAGAGAAUAUUCCUCUCAUGUUCCUACAGAGCAGGAGGCUUAAGGCCUGACAUAGGAGCGUCUGGCCAAAGCAAAACUAGACUUCAAUAGAAUAUGCUACACUAGAAAUAGAUGAUUGAAGACUCCUGUGUGCACGACAAGCUAUGUGUGAUAUGAUCCAAACCUUCCUUGUCACUUAAGAAAAUGGCAAGUUGCCUUUCCUAAUGUAAAUCAAAUCACAAGGAUCCAAGAGACUCCUUCUUUAUGAGCACAGAUUGGGAACAAAGCUCAGGCCAUAUUAUUAAGAAACCACAACCAUUUCCUCCUUUCUGUGUCAAUUUAGAGCAAAAUCUCCCCCUCCCAAAGCAAACCAGAACACCACUACAGAACCCUGUGCAGCUCUUGCCACCGGUGAUCAUAAACCAGGUCUAGAAGGCAUAAUCCUAGCUAUGAAGUUCCUUCAUUUGUGUACUCAGCCAAGUUCCUUCAGGCUCCAGAUGCCAACUUUCACUCUUUUUUUUUAGAUGUUGAAAGGCUUUGAUCCCUACUAACAGAUACUGCACCUUUGAAAUAGGAAUUGUUCUUGCAUCUUAUGAGCAAAAUGAAUGGUUUUGAAUGUGCCAAGGUAACUAAUGUGAAAUUUGAUUAACAUGCAAGCUCAUUACAUUCAUCAGAUUAAUUUACUUUAUCAAAAACAAGCCGUCUGGGACCGCGUUACUACCUUCAUUGUGUUGUUGACUGCUGUCAUAAUUUUCUACUCCAACUAAUAAAUGACAACAGAAAU
ensembl:lncRNA